rnacentral:lncRNA from 1 species
GAGAGAGAGAGAGCUUUAUAUAGGAGAAGUAUCAAGGGGAGGUGGAACAAAACAUUGAAGAAUCGCUUUAAAAUAGUCAUUGAUUGAGAAGGUAACGGGGGAAACUCAGAGUUUGGAGAAGAUGAAGUGGAAGAGUCGGGGGAGAGACUCUCUACGGUUGAAGACGAAGCAGAUUUGUCGGUGUGGGUUCUGAUGGGCCGGCGGAUAAUUUUAAGAGAGCCCAUACGUAAUUUUAAGAGAGCGUAUACGGAACUCCACCCUGUUUCAGACAUGGUGACGUGUCAAAAUAGAAUGUUCUGAUUGGACGAUUUUCCAGUCCGAGGUGGAUAGGCUAAAAAGGCUAGUUCAAUCCCUUUUAUAUAUUGGGAUAACCGUCGCUUUUUUGAGAGGAGUGGAUCCCUGUAUUUGUGGAGGUUACAAAAUGUGUAUUAUUAGAAAGUAAUCACUAAUAUGAAAAUUGAUUUAAAUUUACAAUUGGUUCAAUAAAAUUGAAGUUGGAUAUAAUCUUUUAUCAA